rnacentral:rRNA from 1 species
GAUGAACGCUAGCGGCAGGCCUAAUACAUGCAAGUCGAACGGAUAUAUGUUUUUCGGAAUAUAUAUUAGUGGCGCACGGGUGAGUAACACGUACAUAACUUGCCCUCAAGCGGGGGAUAGCCUUGGGAAACUGAGAGUAAUACCCCAUAGAAUUAUUGGACGGCAUCGUUUGAUAAUUAAAACUACGGUGCUUGGGGAUAGAUGUGCGUCUGAUUAGCUAGUUGGUGAGGUAACUGCUCACCAAGGCGACGAUCAGUAGGGGGCGUGAGAGCGUGGCCCCCCACACGGGUACUGAGACACGGACCCGACUCCUACGGGAGGCAGCAGUAAGGAAUAUUGGUCAAUGGAGGGAACUCUGAACCAGCCAUGCCGCGUGAAGGAUGACGGCCCUCUGGGUUGUAAACUUCUUUUUGGAUGGGGCGAAAAAACGGGAUUUAUCCUGGACUGACGGUACCAUCAGAAUAAGCACCGGCUAACUCCGUG